rfam:Cathartes aura contig97320, whole genome shotgun sequence.
CCAAAGGCUCUUUUAAGAACCACCAAUUCUUUCAUUUGAAGAGCUU